rnacentral:rRNA from 1 species
GAGUGGGUUCAAACUAUGACUAUGGCAUUGGAUCCCAUCAAACCUCCAAAGUUUAAGUGUCCCUGGGCUUGAAUAGUAUUGGGCUGGGUGACCACCCGGGAAGUCCAAGUGACCCCCUCU